AGGGGUGCUCAUUAAGUCGAUCGCGAUCUACCGGUCGAUCGCGGAGGUGGUACUGGUCGAUCGCGGCGUGACAUUAAAAAAAUAUCAUCCUAGCAUCAAUGCCGUCACUUGAUUGACAUACAGGGCAGCCAUUCAGAUGACAACUGAAUGUUGCCCUUCGGGCGACCAAUCAAAUCAAACAACGUCUCUAAGUGCAGCAGAACUUACGAUGUCAGCCUAUCAUCCAUCCCCGUUACUUGAUUGACAUACAGGACAACCAGUCAGAUGACAACUGAAUUUUGACCUUUAGGUCACCGCUCAUGCGUAAACAACGAUGCAAAGUGCUAAGCUAGUCGGCGAAUUGCAUCAGAUUUUAAGCCCUCGCUAAAGUUUAUGGUCACUAAAAUGAGUGAAGGAGCUGGACCAAGUAAAAAGGCAAAAACAUAUCACAGAGGUGGACUUUUUUUUUUCACAAUGUCUUUUUCGAAGUGCGUUUGCCUGGCUAACCUGGCUAUCAGCAGCUACUGUCUGGACUAUGCAUCCCUGGCUGGUUCAAUUCAGUGCAAGUCAUCAAAGUAAACUCAGAGAGGAUGCGCCCCCUGCUGGCGGCCACAGUCAACACCUGCUCGUGCACCUUUCCUCCACUGUUGUACGGCAACACCACUUGGACAAAAUACAUGUCCAUUUUCCGCCUAAAUGUGCCCAUAAUACUGCCAAAAAGCAAAAAUACAUUAAAUAUUCAUGGGUGAAAUUGAAACACUCACUUUCUUAUAUGUAUCUAUGUGAAAAACAAAUAAAAAUGUACUGUUGUUGUGAUGUAAAUCGUGGAACUCAGGAAUUUGAUAAUUAGCAUGCUUACAUGUGAUUUAUAAUGGAAUUUAUACAAUGAAGCUCCUAUAUUUUAAUAUCACAUGUACAUGUAGAGCAUUUGAUGAGUAAAACUUAUAUUCAAAAUCAUUUGAUAAUUUAUGAUUAACUUUAUUUUAUUGAAAUCACAUCAUGGGAAAACAUUACAUUACAUUACAUGGAAAAAAUGUGCAAUAUGUAAUUGGUACUUUCAAACAAACACAUUUCUAUGUAUCACAAGUUCAGACAUUCUGGUCUACAUUUACAUGAACAUAAACUGACUUACCGAGCUAAAAAGCGUUAAAGUGCGAAAUAAAAACAUGAAAUAUAGGCUAUAGAAUAUAGAAUACACUGUUAGGUGCAAUAAGAUGCAGUUAUAUGCACGUUCAAGUUCCCAUUCUGUGCACAACAACCUACACGAGUCUUCCAGAGGAAGCUGGACUUGACCGAGAUGUUUCUUCAUCAAGUGUAUUCAAAUAGCAUAAACACAUCAAUGAGUACUGGAGAUAAAAUACACAAUAAAUCAUAGAAAUAAUAGAAUA